UACAGAGGUCUCAAGCGUUGUUCGGAUUCAUUGGGCGUAAAGGGUGCGUAGGCGGCGCGGUAAGUCGGGUGUGAAAUUUCGAGGCUUAACUUCGAAACUGCAUUCGAUACUGCCGUGCUUGAGGACUGGAGAGGAGACUGGAAUUUACGGUGUAGCGGUGAAAUGCGUAGAUAUCGUAAGGAAGACCAGUGGCGAAGGCGGGUCUCGUGGACAGUUCCUGACACUGAGGCACGAAGGCCAGGGGAGCAAACGGG
rnacentral:rRNA from 1 species